rnacentral:rRNA from 1 species
UACGUAGGUCCCGAGCGUUGUCCGGAUUUAUUGGGCGUAAAGCGAGCGCAGGUGGUUUAUUAAGUCUGGUGUAAAAGGCAGUGGCUCAACCAUUGUAUGCAUUGGAAACUGGUAGACUUGAGUGCAGGAGAGGAGAGUGGAAUUCCAUGUGUAGUGGUGAAAUGCGUAGAUAUAUGGAGGAACACCGGUGGCGAAAGCGGCUCUCUGGCCCGUAACUGACACUGAGGCUCGAAAGCGUGGGGAGCAAACAGG